GAGGUAUUAGUAAAAUAUUACAUAACUUUGUCGAAGUUAUAUUAUAGGUGAAAGGCCCUAUAUGCCUCU
rnacentral:tRNA from 1 species